rnacentral:piRNA from 1 species
UAUGGAUGGAAUGGGUAGAAUGUUUCACCAUU